rnacentral:rRNA from 1 species
AGUCUGGUGCCAGCAGCCGCGGUAAUUCCAGCUCCAAUAGCGUAUAUUAUAAAUUGUUGCGUCUAAAAAGCUCGUAGUUUGAAAACUUGCCUUAGCUUACAAUCGACCCUUUACGGGUCACCGUUUGUUGGGAGCAAAUAUGGAUGAUUGUAUUUGCCGACUUCAUUGUUUGGCUUAUAAACGUCAUCAAAUAUCACUUUGAUUAAAUUAGAGUGCUUAAAGCAAGUGUGUUACUUGGAUAUAAAUGCAUGGAAUGAUGGAAUAUGUUGUUGUUCUAUUUGUUGGUUUUUUGAACGACGAAAUGAUUGAAAGGAACUGUUGGGGGCAUUCGUAUUGUUGUGAGAGAGGUGAAAUUCUUAGACCACAGCAAGACGAACUACUGCGAAAGCAUUUGCCAAGAAUGUUUUCAUUGAUCAAGAACGAAAGUUAGAGGUUCGAAGGCGAUCAGAUACCGCCCUAGUUCUAACCAUAA